GAAAGCAGGAUGGGCGCAGCCUGAUCAGCCUGCCGCGUGAGUGAAGAAGGCCUUCGGGUUGUAAAGCUCUUUCAGUUGAGAAGAAAAGAUUGUAACUAAUAAUUGCAAUCCAUGACGGUAUCGACAGAAGAAGCACCGGCUAACUACGUGCCAGCAGCCGCGGUAAUAA
rnacentral:rRNA from 1 species